rnacentral:rRNA from 1 species
UACGUAGGGUCCGAGCGUUGUCCGGAAUUAUUGGGCGUAAAGAGCUCGUAGGCGGUUUUGUCGCGUCUGCUGUGAAAACCGGAGGCUCAACCUCCGGCCUGCAGUGGGUACGGGCAAACUAGAGUGCGGUAGGGGAGAUUGGAAUUCCUGGUGUAGCGGUGGAAUGCGCAGAUAUCAGGAGGAACACCGAUGGCGAAGGCAGAUCUCUGGGCCGUAACUGACGCUGAGGAGCGAAAGCGUGGGGAGCGAACAGG